CAUUUGUGCUUGGAUUUGUUUGUAG
rnacentral:piRNA from 1 species